rnacentral:rRNA from 1 species
CCUACGGGAGGCAGCAGUGGGGAAUAUUGCACAAUGGGGGAAACCCUGAUGCAGCGACGCCGCGUGAGUGAAGACGUAAUUCGUUAUGGAAAGCUCUAUUAGUAGGGAAGUAAAGGACGGUACCUGAGUAGGAAGCCCCGGCUAACUACGUGCCAGCAGCCGUGGUAAUACGUAGGGGGCAAGCGUUAUCCGGAUGUACUGGGUGUAAAGGGAGCGUAGGCGGCAUUGCAAGUCUGCAGUGAAAGUCGGGGGCUCAACCCGGGGCCUGCAGGGGAAACCGUACGGCUGGAGUGCGCGAAAGGUAGGAGGAAUGCGUGGUGUAGCGGUGAAAUGCGGAGAUAUGACGAAGAACCCAGAGGGAGAAGGCAGCUUGCUGGAGCGGAACUGACGAUGAGGCUCGAAAGCGCGGGGAGCGAACAGGAGUAGAUACCCGUGUAGUC